rfam:Aedes aegypti strain Liverpool supercont1.187 genomic scaffold, whole genome shotgun sequence.
AAAACGGCUCUUUUCAGAGCCACCAAACAAAACGGCUCUUUUCAG